rnacentral:rRNA from 1 species
GAUGAACGCUGGCGGCGUGCCUAAUACAUGCAAGUCGAGCGAACAGACGAGGAGCUUGCUCCUCUGACGUUAGCGGCGGACGGGUGAGUAACACGUGGAUAACCUACCUAUAAGACUGGGAUAACUUCGGGAAACCGGAGCUAAUACCGGAUAAUAUAUUGAACCGCAUGGUUCAAUAGUGAAAGACGGUUUUGCUGUCACUUAUAGAUGGAUCCGCGCCGCAUUAGCUAGUUGGUAAGGUAACGGCUUACCAAGGCAACGAUGCGUAGCCGACCUGAGAGGGUGAUCGGCCACACUGGAACUGAGAAACGGUCCAGACUCCUACGGGAGGCAGCAGUAGGGAAUCUGCCGCAAUGGGCGAAAGCCUGACGGAGCAACGCCGCGUGAGUGAUGAAGGUCUUCGGAUCGUAAAACUCUGUUAUUAGGGAAGAACAAAUGUGUAAGUAACUAUGCACGUCUUGACGGUACCUAAUCAGAAAGCCACGGCUAACUACGUG